UUUUUUUUUACACACAGCCUUGAAAAUUUACCAGUGGGACGAGAAAACCAGAUGGAAAGAGGUAGAUGGAACAGUUUAUAAUGGAAAGUGCUGCUGUACUCCUUUUGAAAUCCUGCUUCUUCAGACUUUCCUCUUCCCAUCUUGAUGGAGAUAUGUAGAGCCUGAAAAAUCUGAAAUACCUUGUGUGUAGACAUGCUAAUGUUAUGUUGAAACUGCCUCUCAUUCAAUGCAACCUGAGUGUGUGAUGUUAGAAGAGAAAGUAAAGAGAUUGAAAGGAUAAAACUGCUGAAUGUCAAACUCACAAGGACCUACUGAAAUUCAGGACAAAAUCCAAAUUCAGUGCAUGGAGACAGACAGCAGCCUACGGAGCCAAAUGGGAAUUUGACUGCUGUGAGGAGUCCCUGACAUGCUGAUUCUUGCGCUGCCUCGUUGGCAAGACUGUGAAGAAGAUACAUGACCAAUUUUGCAGGAAAUGGAGCAAAGCAAAGCAAACAGAAAAGAGUGGCAGGGUGUUAAUUGCAACCUGAUAAUUAAAGUGAAGCAUAGUCAAGGAACAGAUAUCCUCCCAGCUUUCAGCAUGAAAAUGAUGAUGGGCAGCAUCUCUGGACGCUCAGCACUGUUUUGAUAACCCUGGGAAGCUGCUGCAGGGAGAGCCUCAGUGACACACAAGUCUGUGUCUGAGAACACACAUUACCAGGUCUCGCUUUCAUCACAGGAUAUUUAAAAAUCUGGCAAUGGCUUUAGCAGAUGAAGGAAUGAGCUCUUUUCGACUUCAGUUGGAACACUUGCAAGUUUAAUACUUGAUAUAACUAUUUCCAGGACCUAAGGCCUUGCUUUACAGAUUUCUGUUUGAACACUUGUGCACCACCCUCAAUUAAGAACCCCCUCGCAUUGCAUUCUCACACACAUGUAAUGAUUUUACAGAAUUUGAGGGAAUGUACCAUGGAUGAAAACAAGACACAUUCCUGAAGAAAUGUUUUAUUCAACAAAACUUGCCCAACUUGAGCAUUUUCCAGCGAAUCAUCCUUAUCUUGACCCAUGAUUGCCUUUUGUGCCUCCAUCUGGAACGGGCUGGGAAGCAGAUGCCUGGCUUUGGUGUGAGUACUGAGCUGGAGAAUACCAUUCCUAAACCAUGUCACCAGAUUGAGCUGUCUUCUCUGGAUGUCAAAGGGGAGACUGAAAUCCUGGCUUUGGCCAGUCAUGCUUUGUAUCAUCAACUUCCACACCAUGACCCUUCAAAUGACAGGAAAAAACAUCCUCAGACUUUAUAAAAUUAUAUGGUUAAGGAGAAAAGAGAUACUGAAAAUUAUGCAAAUUGAGGGGUACUUCAGAUCUGGAAAAUUUAACCCUGAUUAGAGCUCCAGAGGAAGCACAACAGAGCCACUACAUUUGGUUUCAGACUAUUCACAAACAUCCAGAAGCUCAGUGUUUAAAGGGACAGUCCAGUACCUAAGGAAAUAAUCAGUGUAAUCGGAUGUAAUCAUUGCUAUGGCAACAAUUUCUUCCAGAUCAGUGGAUAAAAUGCUUGUUUCAAACUGUGUCUAUAACUUGUUGCUACAACACUCAGUGUGCGUGCACACACUGUUGCUAAGAGCUCUGCUACGUGUCACUUGCCAGCAUUCUACAAGGAAGAAAUUAAGGUGUCCAUCAUAAAAUAUAUGUUUGAAACAAAUCCUGAUGGCAAGAGAUUUGAGUGGGGAGGAUUGGUGCUCAGUAAUGCAAAGGAAGAACUUGGAUUUAUUUGAUGGAUUUGCUAUUGACUCCUCCUUUAACCAAUAGCAG